rnacentral:rRNA from 1 species
UACGAAGGGGGCUAGCGUUGUUCGGAAUUACUGGGCGUAAAGCGUGCGUAGGUGGUGAGUUAAGUCUGUCGUGAAAGCCCCGGGCUCAACCUGGGAAUGGCGAUGGAUACUGGCUCGCUAGAGUGCGGUAGAGGAGAGUGGAAUUCCCGGUGUAGCAGUGAAAUGCGUAGAGAUCGGGAGGAACAUCAGUUGCGAAGGCGGCUCUCUGGACCAGCACUGACACUGGGGCACGAAAGCGUGGGGAGCAAACAGG